rnacentral:rRNA from 1 species
GACGUAGGGCGCGAGCGUUUGUCCGGAUUUAUUGGGCGUAAAGAGCUCGUAGGCGGCUUGUCGCGUCGACUGUGAAAUCCCGCGGCUCAACCGCGGGUCUGCAGUCGAUACGGGCAGGCUAGAGUUCGGUAGGGGAGACGUGGAAUUCCUGGUGUAGCGGUGAAAUGACGCAGAGUAUCAGGAGGAACACCCGGUGGGCGAAGGCGGGUCUCUGGGCCGAUACUGACGCUGAGGAGCGAAAGCCGUGGGGGAGCGAACAGGA